AAUAUAUAUAUAUAUAUAUAUAUAUAUAUAUAUAUAUAUAUAUGCCCGUGCAACUAUUUCAAUAAGUCAAUCAUUUGACUGGUAGCAAAUGAUUGAUUUAUUGAAAUAGUUUCAUGGGCCACUAUGGCUCAGCAGAGAGAAUUUUAGGUGUGUAAAUGAAGGGUCAUAACGUGGUUGGGCAGGGUUCUCUCUGCAGUUUAGUAAUAGCAGCAACAGCUACUUUCUGAAGAGGAUGGUGGGUACGGGGCUACCCUCUUGAAUGAAGGAAUGAAGCAUGGUCACUUACCUGUCAGUCCAGGGGACGUCUUGUUAGCCAGACGUCCACUUAAAGCAGCACUCACAGAAGCUGUGCACGGGCUCCUGUUCAGUUUUCAUGCACGCUCUUUCAGAAAUGCACUUAGCAUUCUUCACAGGUUAUGGGAUAGACUUACCAUUUAUGGAAAGGAUUUUUUUAAAUAAACUGUACCUUUUUCUCACAUCAUAUAUUAAAAUGUGAAUAAAGCUCCUGACAUAAGAGAUGACUGGCUGACUGAGUAUCACAAGGAUUUAUAGCUCAGACAUGAGAUUUGAAAAGAGAAUUUUUUUCUUUUUUAGAAUGGUAGUAUGGAACAUUCUGGAAUGGUAGUAUCAAACUGGAGUGAACUGUGCACCCCGCACAUUUGACUGGAGUGAUUUUUCAUUGUCAUUAUUUGCAGGUAGAGAGGCUAUAGGUACCUGCUGGGGAAGAGGGAAAGGACCAGAGAACAUCUAAAAAUGCUGUAGCACACAGCAGCACCCAUCCAACCAAGUAUCUGUCCAGUUGCUAAGGUCGAGCAGCUCUCCUGGGAGACAGGAAAAGCUUCUGUUGGACUUGACAGGAAGUAGAGCCAUGCACAUGGAAAGAGACUCGUGGCAGUGUAGACAUUGGUGGAUUCCUCCGAAGGGACUCGAUGAUGCCCCUUCCAGAAUAGUGUCCCUAGAAAGAGGUAAAGCUGAGUUAGACCUAUGACUGGAGAAGUCUGGGCAAGGGAGACCCCAGAUGGCCUCUCGGCAUUUGCCCCAGCAAUUGCACAGACAGAACGUGAAAAGCCACCCCAUCCUGCUGCAUGAGAGUAGAACUGGGGCCCUGUAAGAAAUGAGUGCAUGUCUGUAAGGAACUGAUAGACCCAUGAUUGAUUUCCAAAGAAACACUUCCACACUUUCAGUUCUCUGUGACUCCUUAACAAUUAAAGGGCCAAAUGCCAAGACAUGCACGUGUCCUGGUAGAAUAGGAAUCGGACUGUGCUACAGAAAAACACACAUAUUUCACAUAUACCUGUGACUGUGAGCUUUCUGCUAUACGUAGGAUAGCUCACACUGCACAUUACACGUGAAGGAAGUCGGGCCUCAUCUCUGCAGCAAUGAUGCUUCCCGGAGUGGCUCUCGGUGAGAAUACCCUUAUUCUGAUCAACUCCAAUAGCAUCGGGCUUCAUCGAAACAGGGAGUUAAUGAGUUCUGUCUUCCCAGAAAUCCAGGCUGACCUUCUAGAAGCUCAAACUGGGGAUCUGGCGACCUCCAGAAUAAGGCUGAUAACAUGCAUUAACAUCCGCAGGAAGCCAUAGAUCACUCUUGAUUUUAGGAAGCUCAGAUUUGUCCUAGACGUUCUUGGUGAGUAGUUCUUAAAAGAAGAAAUCGUUGCAGAACACAUCAUAUACUUUUCAAUUCCUUCAUGGAUAAGAUCUUAACACUUUGUCCUUUAAAAUAAAAAUACCCGGAGACUUCCCUCUUCCAAAAUAAACUAUAUUGUCUGAUUUCAGCAGCAUGAUAAGCUAACUUUUUUAUCUUUAUACUUACUAGUAGCUGGAAAUGAAUUUUAUACAGUCUGGAAAUGCGUUUAUAUUCUAGACUCUGGAAUAUCCUAGACUCUAGAUCAAUAUCUAGGAGAUAUUGAUUUUAUUUUUAUUGUGCUUCUGUCCUGGCUGGUCAACUUGACUCAUCUUCCUCGCCUUUUAUGUGGCCCAAUCAGCACAUGAAUGUACCCAGGAUCACAGUAUGAAGUAUGUCUUUCACCUUGACAUGUCUUAUUACUGUCUGGUUUACAAAGGAACGUUUCAACCUCCGCUGUGAGAAUGGUGCUCUACAGUGAAGAGUAUGCUUUCCCAUGGGGGUGAGGUCUUAAUAAUGGAGCAUCCUAAGAUGAAAUGUCUCACAUACUUUAUAGAGUCUCUGUCUUCCUGGCCUCAGCUCUUCUGCUGCAUUAUUCCGUCCACAUUUAUCUGAAGGUUGUGCUCCAAUGAUCCUACAAAAGAGGAAGAAGUGAACACUGACAGUCCUUGCCAGUAGUGAUCACAUCGUUCCCUUGAAAUGUUGCUUACUUACGCCAAAUGAGAUAUUUAUUGAGCACCAACUAGUAGCGUAGAACCUAUACAAUACCAUUUGAUAAAAGGAUCUUGUAUUACUGAAGGGUAAGAGUCUUGAGAAAAUGAAGCACUUAGCUCAGGACUUCAUGUUUCUGUUGCAACAUGAAAACAUUCCUGAACUCAGAAAUUACAAAGCCAAUAAAAUGCUGACUAGAGCCAAAGACGAUGUAUAAUGCUUUCUGUCAGCAUUCUGGGUUUUAAAAUGAUCUAAUGACUGUAUUUUACGUGGAUGGGUGUUUUAUCCAUGUGUGUCUGUUUACUAUGUGCAUGUCUGAUGCUACACCGGUCAGAGGAGGACAUCGUACUCCUUAGAACUGCAGUUACCGAUGCCAAUGGCCAUUUGGGUGCAAACGAUCAAACUCAGGGCCCCUGGAAAACCAGUCAGUGCUCUUAAAUGCCGAGCCAACUCUCCAGUCCCAAAGUCUUAUUUCUCUUACUAUCCAUAUUGGAAAAUAAAUAUCAUUGCAAAAUUCACAUAAUCGCUGGCCAAAUUAAGAGUGCCACUUUAAAGAAUAUUUUACAGUGAUUCAAGCAGAUUUACCACAAUGACUUUUAAAUUAUUUUUUGGCAUAAAGAAUAUUUUUACAGUGGUUCAAACGAAUUUACCACAAUGACUUUUAAAUUAUUUUUUGGCAUUUGCUCACUCUUAUUUCUUAAUAAUAAAACAAAAGUAUAAUCUGAGGGCUUUUACUAGGAGGCAUGGUAUUUCAUCAUCUGCAGACCACUGGCUGUCAGUCCAAACACAACUAGCUCUGGCUGUGUGUUUAACCUCUUGGUCACACUCCUCAAAUGGUGGCUGUUUUCUGAUUAUUUCCAUUGUCUGAUAGCUGGCUAAAAGCUAUAGGUAUUUGACUUGCUUUAUUAUGCGGACAUGGACCUUGGGGUGGGGAAGCAGAUGAAAUUAAUGUACUGUGGUGGGUUCGUUGAUGUAGACACGGGGAUUUGGUAGAAAACCACAACAUGAGCAGAGACCCCAAAGUGACAAGACAAUUCCGUAUCCAACGGGGGUUGGGGGUGUGUGUGUGGCCUAUAGAGAGUUCUAACUCAGUGGGGAGCUGAAAGAGACUUUACUACCGACUCUUGAAGUCUAAUCUUCAACGGUGGAAAACACAAUUGCAGAUGUGAAGUUCAUCCAUUUCCGUGUGGCCAAGGGCAGCUUCAAUGAGAUGAGUUCUACAUUUAGUGUGGUAUUGAUUUCCUCAUCAACGUGGGCAGAGAGCUUCUCUUUUAAAUGCAUUUGUUGCCCAUGCACACACACACCAAGCCAACAUGGUUCCAUGUGGAGAUGUUUAAUGAGAGAAGAGUAGAAGUGGGGAGAAGUAAAGGGGGCCAGCCAUGGGCACGUGGGGGGGAGGGGUGGGGAGAGAAGGGACAGGGACAGAGGGAAACAGAGCAGAGAAGAGAACAAGAGAAAGCAAGAACAGGAAGAGCAAGAGAGAAUGAGGAGGGGGCAAGCAGCCCCUUUUAUAGUCAGGCACAGGUGGCUGUUGCCAGGCAACUGUGGGGCGGAGCAUACCUGGCUGUGCCCAGGUAGCUGUGGGGACACCACCAGGUCUUUUUGGUUGUGGUUGUUUGUAUUGUGUUGCGUUGUCGGUUUGGCUUGUUUUUUACAUCCGGGUCCAUCGUUUCUUUUUUAGGCUGUGAAUUCGGUGAAUGCGUGUGGAAUGAGCACCAGCAGCUCAGGCUCCUUCCCAUUAGUCCUCACAAAACGGGCUUCUCUAGGUGACUUAACGCUGGUGGUUCAGGACAGCUAUUUGAAUGCAGCAUUCUCUCCUGAAGAGAAACGGAGUAAAGAAAGACAACAAAGUAGAACUCUCCUGUAACUAGCAGCAACUGAAAACAUACAGUGUAUCUUACAUCUUGUUCCAUUAUUAUCCAGAUCUACGGCCCCAAAACAAAUUGAUAUCCCUCAUAAGGGGGAAAAUACGUGCGUAUUAUACUUCCCAAGUUCAAUGGUUGUCAGAAGAAUCUGUGUUUCUAGAUGCAUCCUGUCACGUUAAUUCAUUCCAGAGGGGCAAGCAACUGGAAGCAAACCAGACAAGCAUGAAAUCAACAGAAAGGCAGAAGGAGAUGAGUGAGGUGCGGAAGAGCCCUGCUUUGUUGGGGCAGGCCCACUCUUGCCUCUCUGAUUAAUGUACCUUUCUCAGGGUUUAGCCAUGAUCUUUCUCAAAGUAAACUACCUUUGAUGAAUUUGGGUUAAAAAUAAUACUCAACUUUUUCAUCCAGUCGAAAGUUGUAUUUAUUUUCACUGUCUUAGAAUUAAAUAUUUAUGUGUGUGCUGUGUUCAUUUUAAAUAAAAGGAGUAAAAAUCUAAAA